AUUGAAUAUUAAAACUAACAGAUGAAGAUGCUGAUUUUCUGUUUCAGUGGUAUUGGAUAUUAAUAUCAUCAUUCAGAAAAAUGAAAUGUCUAACGCAUUAGAAAAAAGAUGAAACUGGUUGAAUGCUUGUAUCUUCCUAGAAACCACAGUCCUCUGUGAUAAAAACCAUACCUUUCCUAUAUAGUGACUGAUAAAGCUGAUUAAUUUCGACUACAUAUUUUUAAAUUAAGAAACAUGACGAAAAAAGCUACGUAUAAAGCUAUUUCUAGCUUGAAACCGAAACCUACUUAUCAUUUAUUUAUAUUAAUCCCAUAAUCAAGGUACAGUGCACAUUUGAAUCAGUCGAUUACAAUUGACUUGAAAGACAGAUGUCCUCAUACGUGCUCAAUAUUUAUGAAGUCUUCGACUAAAAAUGACUGAAAUCAAUGAAAGUUACGGAGGAAGUACAGAAUCAAUAUAGGAUACACCUGGCAUACAGAUACAAUUUUUCUUCGUGUCAUGUCGUGUCUCGCGUCCUACAUUUUGGGAAUCAAGACUGUCACGAAGAUGGUCCACGAGUUCACGAGUCACGAGUCACCUGACCUGAUUGACCGCUGUACCAUUUUCGAGUCACAUGCGACAUUAUCGAUUAUAGUAAAUACUUAAUCAUAUUAUAUCAUACAUAGUAAAUAGUUAAUCAAUGAUUUCAUAAUAAAAUUUUGUUUUAAUUCCAACCACUACAAACGUUUUAAUAAUAUUCUACACUAAAUCGAUAACACUGGAAACGAUAAUAAAAUGGUAAAAGAACUCUGCAGCCCUGGAAACAUGACACAAAGGUAUAUUGAGUGAUGGAUCUAUACUAUACUUAGUCAAUGUCAAUACGUAUAUGUAUUAUCAGAUAUUAUACAUAAUUGACAAAACUGAACAUUUCUUCUCACUAAUUAAAUUGAAAAUGUUUGUAAUGUAACAUAAAGUAAUCUAUUAUAAAUAUAUAAAUAAUUCGUUAAAACAAAAUUUUUUAAUAUUCGCGGAUGUAAAAUAUCUUUUUGCUAUUAUUAACGUUUACUGCAUACUUUUAAUUAGAUAAAACAAGUACAUAUUGCACUCCAAAAAAAAAAAAAAGAUAAAUGAUAACGACUCUGUUAUUAAUAAUAAAAUCGUUAUUAAAACGUCUUAAAUGUCAUUACAAAUACUAAUGCUAUUUGUUAAAACUUAUUGCAUAUAAGCAAAAUUGAAAAUAAUUAUAAUUGCAAUUUCUGGCGGUAUUAUUAAUUAAGGAUUCUAAACUUAUUGAACUGAUCCAGAAUAUAAGUAAUAUUUAUAUAUAUCGUAUGUAAAUAUAUUAUAAACCUAUACAUAAAUAAAUUUAUAUUAAGUAACUGUACAAUAUACAAGUUAACUCAUUGCAAUAUUAGAUGUAAAAGAAACUAAUUUAAUUAAUAUAAAAAAGUUAAUCUUAUGCAAGAUGCAGGUGUCAUCAAGUUAUAUAUUUUAUCAUGUCAAAUAAACUAAAAGACUAGCAAUGAGAAAACAAAUAUUAUGUCACAGUAUUUAUUUGAAUUUACGGAAAUAAUUUUAAUAUUUUAUGAUUUUUCAACAUUUAUCUAUGUGUGUGUGUAUGUGUUGCAUUGCUGAUUAAGAAAUUCUAAAACUGAAAUAAAUAUUUAAUUACUGCAAUAACUUUCAAAUUUGUAUAUACUUGAUUCUUUUAAGCAUUUAACAAUUUAUAACAUAAAAUGAUUUUAAUGUAUUUUAUGAAAUUUAUGUGAAAUAACACAAAAAGUGAUGUUUAUCAUUAGUAGUAUUUUAAAAUAGCUAAUACAGAAACUUUUUCCAUUUAUACAACUUCGAUUGUUCAUAUGAUCCUAGAAUUUUGUAAACAAUGUGACA